rnacentral:lncRNA from 1 species
ACCACUCCAUCACUCUGUCAGCCGCCUCCCUCUCUCAUCUUCCUCACGCCCUCGCUCCCCAGUUCUCUCGACACCGCGGUGCCCCCUCCCCUCCCAACGCGGCUUCCUCUCCCUCGUACUCCGGUCACCCUUUCCCUCUCACUCCGACCACCCUCUCCCUCUCCACUCUUGUUGCCCUCCCUCUCCCUCUCCACAUCCCGAUGGCGAGCGCAAGGCGCGGAGCGGCAGUGUGACCAGCCUCGAGAUUGGACGUGGAGCAGCAACGACGGGGUCAUGAGGUACAUCAUCAGCCCCUCCUGUUCGCCCUGUCUCCCUCUUUUCUCCUCUCAUCCUCACUCGUCCCUCUCUCUUCGUAGAUCCAUAGCCAACUGUCCUCCAACCAUGGAUUCGAUUUGGUGGUGGAUCCGGUGUCUCGGAUCAUGGAUCUGACAUUAGGGCUCGUAGAUCUAGGGCUACGGGUGGCGGCCUCCCCUCCCUCCCCAGGACGCUCCUCUCUUCCUGCGCAUGUGACAGCGCACGGCGGUGGACCUAGGCCUACGGUUUGCAGAAUGGGUGCGGCAAAUCCAGGCUCACUAACGGGUUUGCUGGUGGGUUUAGAGAUUUUUUUUUUGUUUUUUACCGAUUAACCAAGACGAACAUUCUAAAAUGCCCAAUUAAGAGUGGCGGGCACAUGCAACCGCCGCAGUUAAUAGUGGUAGUAGUGCAUUACGUAUUUUGUAAAGAAGAAAAUACUAACAAAGGUGUGAACACAUCAGACCUGACACGCGGCCACAAAUAUAUAAAUACACUCGUCGUUAGUAGAUACCCAACUAAACAAAUCGCCCUGCAUCUGCAUCUGAGACGAGACGACGAUGGUGACACGCGGGGACGACGACGACGCGUGACGGCGUGGCCUCAUCAUUCUCAGCCAAAUAAAGCUCCGCCGUUGCGAUCGAUCCAUCGUACGUACUACGUACUUGCUCCAAUAAGAAAAUGGGGAAAACAAUCACAAUUAAGCAAGCAAAUGGAACUUGAUUGACUGACUAACCCUGUCUGGCUCUCUCGAGUCAAGGACGCGGCUGUACGUGUGGUUAUUAGUUCAGUUGGGCGCUGGAUCUGAUGGUGACCGGAUGUAUAUAUAUAAAUAUAUACAUAAUAUAAUUAACUUGGAGGAGAAGAUCGAUCGUACAGAUAUAUAUAUUGUUUGCAAAGACCCAAGCAUCCUCAGUCAAGAGACGCUGAAUUAAUGAAGCGUUGGACCGUCCUUGCAACUGCUUAUGUCUGAACGAACAUGAACAUCUUUUCUUUGGUCAAAGAUAUAGAAAGUGAACUUUGGACAAAUUCAAUAGUUAACAGAUCUGGAAUUCCGAAUGAUUAAGGCCUUGUUUAGUUUGUGAUGGGGAAAAUUUCGCGACACUUUAGCACUUUCGUUUGUUUGUGGUAAUUAUUGUCCAACCAUGGACUAACUAGGCUCAAAAGAUUGGUCUCGUAAAUUUCGACCAAACUGUGCAAUUAGUUUUUAUUUUCGUUUAUAAUUAAUACUCCAUCCAUGCGUCUAAAGAUUCGACGUGACGGAAAAUCUUGAAAAAUUUUAGGUUUUUGAUGGAAGUAAACAAGGCCUAAUGGCCAGCGAACUGAGUGAGUUUUCUUAUGGUGGAAUCUUUUUAUCUAGGUUAAUUAAGUCCUCAAUAUAUUGUUAUUCAGAUCAACGGUCCACAGUUAUUUGAGUGUACCAUAAUAAAGUCUAUUAGUUCUAUGUACAAAUCAUCGUCUUAUAUACAUAAAAUAAAAUAAAAUAAAAUAAAAUAAAAUAAAAUAAAAUAAAAUAAAAUAAAAUAAAAUAAAAUAUGGCUACACAAACGUGCGUCCCAUCCCAAUACUAUGCAUGUGUGUGUCUAUGCACAUGUUAUAAAAUACUAUUCAGGUCAUGUUAGAAAAGUUAGAUCAUGCAUGCAUAUUAUAUCUAAUAGAAAGAUAUUUUUCUUAUAUAAUUAUUACCUCUUACGAGGUAAUAUGUGAUAAUUGUUAUUUAGAUCGACGGUCCACAGUUAUUUGAGUGUACCAUAGUAAAGUCCAUAUAUAAAUAUAACAUGUGCUUGAAUUUAUCUCACUAUCUAACAACACUAUUUUUUUUGAAUUGUACGUAGGAGAUGAGUCCGUCCAUAGAGUCUAUCUUUGAUAAUUUCAUUUCAAGGCCGACUAAAUUAAAUCGAUCUUUCAAAUAUCUUUAUAGAGAUAGAGUGUGAAUAUGUUUAUAGAGAUAGAGAGUGUGUAUGUCAGUUUAUACAAGGAUAAAGUGCAUGCCUGCGUGUUUGUAAGCUCCUAAACUAUAAGCUUGCACUUCAUUUGAGAAUGGAUAGGCCUGCAUUUUGUCUGGUAGACGAUCGACUGGGACAGGAAAGAUUAUUGAAGGUUGAGGCUGAUUGGUGUCGAAAAAGGAAUGCAUGCAACCGGAUUUAUCCAUGAACCCAUAAAUAGAUUAAUUUUGCAGAUUAUAUAUAUGGGAGUAAUUCGUAAAAAAAUAAAUCUAUUUGUAG